UUUUUCUACUUAGUUGUAACUGCAUUCAUCGUGUACAGGUGGAGAGCUAAAGGGAAUCAAACAGCAUGUGGUGAAGAUAAUGGUCUUGAUGGUGAUGUUGAUGAUGAAGUGACGCAUCACACUGUGGCCACUUCCUCCUUCCUCUGAACUUCCUCCUUCAUAUUAGACGCCAUGCAGUCAUGACAUCUCUGCAUUGGUAGCUUCAUGCUCCUGACGAUGCUU